CGGUUUGUUUUGUGAUACAGAGUAUGCGGGAUAUUGAGGACGUAUAUUACAAACCUUGGACUUCUCAGUACAUUUACAAAGAAGUCAAUCUAUCCAUGAUAUUACGCAGCAUUAGUUACUGAAAAGGAGUUUGAAACACCCUUGUGACGAAUCUAAAUAUUUUUCUCAACAUUGAAGCAACAAUAGUCUUGGAUAACUUGUUUUAGGGAAAGAAAACUGGCCUGAGUUUGUUUUUUGUCUGGAAAUCUGGAUCUUUUCCUUAGGAAAAAAUUCCACUACAGUCUAGAAGUUUAGGUAGAAAAGCUUUCCGUUUUGGAUUUCUUGCAAUCAGGUACAUAAGAGUGCAUCAGUGAUUUCUCUCUAUUGGAUACGCACGAAGCUUCUAGAUGCAGCGUUUUCUGUGAUUGGAAAAAUAUAUGACAACAAAGAUGCUCCACUACAUACCAAAGUUUUGAAUGCUGCAGUAACUGUGCAAGGAUACCAUAGGAUCUGUCCCUGCGUGUUUAGUCUAAUAUACCACUAUUCAAUUCAUCCACACGUUCAAAAUGAAGGCGAGGGCAAUACCUGUGCACUCGAAACCAUCUCAUCAAACCUUAUUCACAUCAAUUUCAACGUAGCUAUUUAUGUAAAAACUAUAUGUAUAUAGAACUGUAUUUAGCCUUCCAGUGCCUUCGGAUAUUGAUCUUGUCUCACAAGAGCUGCGUAUAUCU